rnacentral:rRNA from 1 species
AUUGAACGCUGGCGGCAGGCCUAACACAUGCAAGUCGAACGAGUGGCGGACGGGUGCGUAAUGUCUGGGAAACUGCCCGAUGGAGGGGGAUAACUACUGGAAACGGUAGCUAAUACCGCAUACCAUCGGAUGUGCCCAGAGGGGCUUAGCUAGUAGGGGGGGAAACGGCCCCCCUAGGCGACGAACCCUAGCUGGUCUGAGAGGAUGACCAGCCACACUGGUACUGAGACACGGUCCAGACUCCUACGGUAGGCAGCAGUGGGGAAUAUUGCACAAUGGGCGCAAGCCUGAUGCAGCCAUGCCGCGUGUAUGAAGAAGGCCUUCGGGUUGUAAAGUACUUUCAGCGGGGAGGCGUUACCCGCAGAAGAAGCACCGGCUAACUCCGUGCCAGCAGCCGCGGUAAUUC